rnacentral:rRNA from 1 species
AUUGAACGCUGGCGGCAGGCCUAACACAUGCAAGUCGAGCGGAUGAAGGGAGCUGGCUCCUGGAUUCAGCGGCGGACGGGUGAGUAAUGCCUAGGAAUCUGCCUGGGAGUGGGGGAUAACGUCCGGAAACGGGCGCUAAUACCGCAUACGUCCUGAGGGAGAAAGUGGGGGAUCUUCGGACCUCACGCUAUCAGAUGAGCCUAGGUCGGAUUAGCUAGUUGGUGGGGUAAAGGCCUACCAAGGCGACGAUCCGUAACUGGUCUGAGAGGAUGAUCAGUCACACUGGAACUGAGACACGGUCCAGACUCCUACGGGAGGCAGCAGUGGGGAAUAUUGGACAAUGGGCGAAAGCCUGAUCCAGCCAUGCCGCGUGUGUGAAGAAGGUCUUCGGAUUGUAAAGCACUUUAAGUUGGGAGGAAGGGCAGUAAGUUAAUACCUUGCUGUUUUGACGGUACCAACAGAAUAAGCACCGGCUAACUUCGUG